GCCCCAAGAUCUGGAUCAAAAGCUCAUGUCUACCAGCCUCGAGAUGUGGGUCACAGGUGUGCCCUCCAUUUCUGGAUUAUAGUUCAUUCCAGAUACAGUCAGGUUGACAACCAAGAAUAGCCAUCACAAUAGGUAUUUUACCCUCAUAUGUGUUUGUGCACCACUUGCAUGUCUAUGUCCUCAGAGGCCAGAAUUGGACAUCAGAUGUCCUGGAACUGGACAGUUACAGUGUAAGCCACCAUGUGGGUGAUGGGAACCAGACUCAGGAACAUUCAGGAAUCAAACACUGGCUGGAAGCACAGCCAGUGCUCCUAACUGCUGAAUCACCUCUCCUGCCCCGGAUUCACUUCUUUUAUUAUAUGUGUAUGUCUGUGUGUGGGUCCGUACAUAUGAGUACAAUGUCUGUGGCGUCCAUAGGAGGGAGUCCAUUCCCUGGAGUUGAAGGGACAGGCUACUGUGAGCUUCCUAAAAUGCAGACUGAGAACCAUGUAUUAAUUGCUGAUCCACCUAUCCAGACCAUAGUUUAGAUUUGUUUAGAUUAGGGCAAUUAUUUGAUUUCUAGUUACAAUUUAGCCAUUCUGUUCAAAAAUAUGUCUGGAAUUGUUCUAGGAGAAGGUGUCAUGGUUUGGACUAUGAAUUGUCUACCAAAACCCACGUGUUGAAGACUCGGUUCCCCAAACAGCUAGUGAUUCCCAUCACUAAAGGGUGGUCAGGAGGGUUCUGUGAUAAUCAGAUAGAUUCCUAACUCAUUGAUGAUUCAUAAUUUGGUGGGAGGACUUCAUUGGGGAUGUGUCUUUGGAAGGUAUAUCUUCUCUCUGACCCCUUCCAGUCUCCUUCUGCUCCCCAGCCUUCCCCAGAUCCAUACUGACUAGGCCAGUGGGCCACACACUGGGACCUCUGACACCAGGAGCCAAACAACACUCUUAAUCUUGUUUUUCUUUGAGAUGUUUUGUCAACAGUAGCAAAAAGUGACCGACAUACUAGGGAUGGCUAGCAACAAACAGCCGGAGUAUACCAUCAAGGGGCGCACAGACCAGCAAGCACACAGAAGACACAGUCAACAACCAUCCAAUGCUUAAUUACAUCCAGGCAUCUGUAAAGGGAAAGACGCAUAUGGUGGGGGUAUCCCACCUCCUGCUGCAUAAGUAAAAACUGAACCUUUGUUGUAUUGUAUCACUGAGAUGUCAUUGUUCCCUUGACACACAUGCCAAGACUGUGGGGCUGCAGUGUGACAGGAGGGACCAUGGAUUAGUUACUUUUCCAUCACCAUAAUCAGCAUUCCCCGAAGACACUGUUGGAGAGAGACAGCAUUUAUUUUGACUCAUGGUUUCAGAGGUUUUUCAGUCCAUCAUGGUGCUUCCUAUGAUGAUGUGACCAGUCCAUGACAACAGGAGCCUACAGGCAGAAGCUGUUGAUGAUGUAUCAGAAUGCAGAGAGCAAACCAGGAAGGAGGCAGAAAUCACAUGACCCACUCAAGGACCUGCUGCAAGUGAUCUACUUCCGGGUCAGCCUGGAAGGGAGCCAGACCCUUGGCCCUCUGGAGGAAGGCUUCGUCCCAGUCUGGAAGCAGUAGAGCCUGCAGAGGUUGGCCCUAGGCUGCCAUGAGCGAAGGAAGAAGGGUUGAAAAGAGCCAGUUCUUGUUGCCUGUGGACUGGAAAGACCCCAGCCAGGUUGCCACCUUGGACCAUGCUUCCCCUUCAGGGCAGACCUCUCCCUCCAGUCUCCGCCCAGUGUCUCCUGGGAAGCCGUACUAGCAGAUCGCACCACUUGAGCGUUGGGAAGGCUGUCUGCGGAACUGUGCCGGGGAGGUCAAAUGAAAAUGGAGUUUGAGUCAAGCAACAGAAAACACAGGGGAUGGAUGGACUUAGAAGCCAAGGCUGACUUUAAACUCUCCCAUGCUACUACAGGAGACUGGCUACGAACCCAGCACAAUAUCAAAAAGCAAGCAUGCACAGAUAAGACUCUCAUAAAAUGAGCUCAGGCCUAUGAAGCAGUUUCAGGAAUACAACAGCCUCUCCGACUUUGCCUUGCCACUUGACUACUGUGUGUUCUGUGGAGAAACCACUCCGUGCUGAACGGAGCAGCCUUCUACCUCCAGCAGUGACUCUUGUCCUUCUCACACACAGCCCGGAUGAAAACACAACCUGCUUCACACAGCUUGUUUGUUGCUAAGUAACCACUUCUUCCUGGUAUGAGUGUGUGACCACCCUUUCUUACUGCAACUUAAUUGCGUGACCUUAACACUGGAGAAUGGAAUUGGAAUGGGGCAGGCGUGGGGGUGGGGCUUCAUUUCUCAUCACCUACACUGUCUGUUAUUGUCCAUGACCCUGAAGAACAUUUCCUGGGAAAAGGUGAAAAAAGGGAGGGGCAGAGGAAGAACUGAGAACACGAGGGAGGUAGGAGGAAGUCUAAUCUCCACCCAGCCACCCCAGAGACCUCCUGGUGACUGCAUGAGCCAGAGAGCAGACAACAACCUUCUGUCCCCUUUCUCCUUCAAACACUGCUAACCCACGGGUCAAGCAUGAGCAUAGGCUUUGAAGCCAGGAAUAGUCACCUCAACCCUUGCCACAGUCCCAAGGGACACAGAGGCCACCAGCAAUACGGCAGCAAUCUCCUCUUUCAAGAGCAAGAGAGAGAUAAGUAAGAGUUUCCUCUUAGGAGCUCUGUCUCACAUUCACUAUGUCCCUGAAGCUGGGGUCUAUGAGGCUAUUGGUGACUGAUGUUUCCCAGAAUUCCAUAGUCAUGCAGGAACCUGUCACUUCUCUCAGGAAAUCGAAUGGUCUGCCCCUAGAUCACUAUAAGUUAUCCACUACCACCAGCUUUAUAGAGGCAUGAUCAAGAAAUAAAGGUGUGUGUGGGCUGGGGGCAUGGCUCAGCUCAGAGAGAGCUCUUGCAUCUCGUGUGUGAGGAUCUACAUGCUUGUAAUCGCAGCACCAGCAAGAUGGGAGACAGCGACAAGGAAGAUCCUGGAAGUUCCCUACUCGGUGACGUUCCAGACCAAUGAAAGACUGUGUCUCAAACAAAAGAGCUAACACCUAAGGUCAUGCCCCUGACCUCCACGCAUGUGUCAUGCAUGUGCACACUGAACGCACAUUUACCCCUCCCACACCCACACAUGCACCCUCAUCUGCAUAUUCCCACAAGACCGCAUGCAGUUAAGGUGUACAUGUUUUGCUCAGCAUUCUCUACACUCAGUCUGUUUAACACAUCUGUGACCUAGCUAUGUGUGUGUGUGAGAUAAUACCUCACACCUACUCCCUUAACACAUAACAAUGAUGUAACCCUGCAUUAGUAAUAAGUGUGGUCACUUUGCUGUACACUGGUUCUCCAGAAGCCAGUCAUCUCAGAACUGCAAGUCCUCCUGUGUUACCCUUGGAUGAACGUCUCCCCCACUUACCUUACCUCUGAUCCUUAAUAAUUAUCCUUCUGCUCUAUCCUGAGGCUCUGACGUUUUCAGAUUCCACUUCUACAAGGAGAUCGUAUGCCCCGUGCAUUACUCAGUCUUCCCAUUGCUGUGACAGAGGUAAUUUAAGGAGGGGGAGGGGCAUUCUGCUUUAAGAAGAUGUGUAGGGAGGGCUGGAGAGAUGGCUCAGUGGUUAAGAG
rnacentral:sRNA from 1 species